CAACGACGAAGAACCUUACCAGGCCGUUGACAUGCAGAGAACUUUCCAGAGAUGGAUUGGUGCCUUUCGGGAACUCUGACACAGGUGCUGCAUGGCUGUCGUCGGCUCGUGUCGUGAGAUGUUGGGUUAAGUCCGUAACGAGCGCAACCCUUGUCCUUAGUUACCAGCACGUUAUGGUGGGCACUCUAAGGAGACUGCCGGUGACAAACCGGAGGAAGGUGGGGAUGACGUCAAGUCAUCAUGGCCCUUACGGCCUGGGCUACACACGUGCUACAAUGGUCGGUACAAAGGGUUGCCAAGCCGCGAGGUGGAGCUAAUCCCAUAAAACCGAUCGUAGUCCGGAUCGCAGUCUGCAACUCGACUGCGUGAAGUCGGAAUCGCUAGUAAUCGUGAAUCAGAAUGUCACGGUGAAUACGUUCCCGGGCCUU
rnacentral:rRNA from 1 species